AUGUCGCUGAGUGUGGGCUUUCCCCCCCUCCCGGGUGAUCCUGGGGGAGGACCUUCUAAUUAUCUCGAUGGAACAUACACUGGGGCAACAUUACCCAGCUACAUGGACCCACAUGGAAAUUACGGUGAGCUGAUAGUAUUGCGCAUGGAACCGGUGAACGGCAAAAUGCCCGACCAUCCUUUCACACUACGCCAAUCUAUCGAGAAAAGAGUAAAUGGAAAAAUCGAAGGAGCCAUCUCCGAGUCGCAAGGCCGAUCGUACGCUCUGAAAGUCAGAAGCAGGCACCACCUCGAAAAGCUCCUAACGAUGUCUCAACUCAUUGAUGGCACCGCAGUUAAAGUAUCGUACCAUCCCGGGCUAAAUUCAACACGAUGUGUAAUCAGCUGCCGCGAUUUAAUGAAAAUGACGGACGACAACGAGGUGCUCGAGUGCCUCAGGGAUCAAAACAUCACCGGUAUCCGCCGGAUUACCAGAAAAGUAGGUGAACACAGGGAAUUUACACCUACGGUGAUUCUCACCGUUGGUGGAACUACGAUCCCUGAACACAUCGACAUCGGUUACCAGCGAGUUCGAACCCGACCAUAUUAUCCUGCACCCAUGUUAUGUUACCAGUGUUACCACUUUGGACACACAAAGCAAAGGUGCCAGAAACAACUGCCGACAUGUGGAAACUGCAACCAAGAACACGAAGUCACCCAAGAUACACGAUGUCAGAACCCUGCAUACUGUGGCCGAUGUAGUUCCAACGACCAUUCCGUCAGCAGCCGUAAAUGUCCGACGUACCAAAACGAGGACACAAUUCAGCAUAUACGAGUAGAUAGAGGCUUGUCGUACCCCGAAGCCAGAAGAGUUUUUGAAGCAAGCACAGGACAACGCUCUUUCGCUGGAAUUGCAUCUCACAGUAAAGAUAAAACUAUUUCCGAUCUGUCAGCAAAGUUAGAGACGCUCUCCAGACAAAUGGCCCAGAAAGAUGCUCAAAUAAAGGCUCUGGAGGACAAAAUGUCCACAGGUAACACUUCAACCAGCAGUACCGACUUUCAGCGUCUCGAACAAAUGAUAAUCAACCUGCAAAAAGAAAUCCAGAAAAAGGAUGAGAGAAUCCUAACCUUGGAAAAGGCACUAGAAAAGGAUUCCAGGAUUGACCUUGUCCGCAAACACGGAACGAUUGAAGAUCUUGUCGCUAAAGUAUCCGCCCUUCAAGAAACAGUAAACAGAAAAGACCAGGAAAUCCAAGAUCUUCGCGCAUCUAAUAAGACAGCCCGUGCUUCCAUCGAAACCACUUCUAAGCCCCAACGACAGCAAACUGCCAAGAAAACGGUCCCCAAUGCAACUACUAGUACCCAAGAACAUAACAGUCAAAAAGGACCAACCAAGAAUGCACCCAACGCCUCAAAGAAAGGGAAGGAUACGCCCAUCACCGUAGUACAGAAUCUUUCAACAAUUCCCACAAUGCCGAUGGAUAACGCAGAUUCUGAGAUCAACACUGGCACGAAACCGAAACGGGGGAAAAAUAACUCCGAGCAUACUAAAGAGAAUAUCUGCGCUAAACGAACUAAGGGAAACUUACCAGUAAUGUACAUCUCUGAUACGGAAGAUCUUCAAACACUGAACAAUGAUCUCUACAUGGCAUCAGAUAUAAUAGAACACGACAUCUCGUCCUCGUCAGACGAAACAAUGGAGGAGAAUGUGACAGAAGGAUUUCCACUGUAGUUCUGUCCUUCGAAACCGUCUACAAUACAAUCACCAACUUUAAUGUCUUCUUCACCAAAAACACGUUUUCGUAAAAAAGAAAAUAGCCCACAUAAAACGAAGGACAAUCUCGGAAAAACCGCUUAUCCGGAACUUAAACCGAAACGUAACAUACCUCUCAGUCUAGCAUCUCACCUGGACGCUAUCACCGGACUCAAAGAUGAAUGUGGGACGCGUGAUAACCUCAUACUCCCCCACUUGGAUAUUGACGGAACAAAGAAGGCGAGCAAGCAGGAUAAGGCCUCGGGCAGUCGGGGCCCCAUCAGUGCGGAAGAUUUCGGUGGACCGGUACUGGUGGACAACCCCCGGUGUUCGUUGGCAAACUCCACAAAAACUGUCAGCGAGGGAAUCAAGGAGAUAAGACUCGAAGGAAACAGUGGGACGCGUGAUAACCUCAUACUCCCCCACUUGGAUACUGAUGGAACCAAGACGGCGAGCAAGCAGGAUAAGGCCUCGGGCAGCCGGGGACCCAACAGUGCGGAAGAUUUUGGCGCACCAAAACCGGUGGGCAACCUGUUGGCAAACUCCACAAAAACUGUCAGGGAGGGAAUCAAGGAGAUGAGACUCGAAGGAAACAGUGGGACGCGUGAUAACCUCAUACUCCCCCACUUGGAUAUCGAAGAAACCAAGGAAGCGAGAAAUCAUGAUGAAACCUCGGGCAGUCGAGGUCUCACUAGUGUGGAAGAUAUGCGUAGACCAGAACUAGCGGACAACCUCUGGAGUCCGUUGGCCGCAAGAAAGAAGAGAAAUCUACUUCAGCCCGAUUGCAAUUCAAAAACCGUAUCCCACCGGAUGCUCGAUCGGAUGCGCAGAAAUAUGACCGAUGGAAGUAUGGAACUAAUAGAAACAGUUUCCCGGUGGCGGGUACUUCGUCAUCAUUGUCUUUUGUACCCACAGUUUCAUCUUGUCCUUCGCCAGCGAGACCUCCAUCGACUGUCCAUUUUGGUGGACCUUCAACCUCCAGUCCCCAUAAGUUGAUCUCCAACCACGAGCCCCCUGGCAAACCCGCAAAGCCUGCAUUCCAUCAAACCAAACGACCUAGAAGUCCAGUCCAACACCAGAGCAAGAUGAGCGGAAGCAAGACGGGGCAGCCAUCGUUAGCGCUGCAAUGGAACAUGAACGGAUUCUUCAACAAUCUUGCCGAUCUUGAAGUACUUGUAGCUAAAUCCACUCCCGUCCUAAUAGCCAUCCAAGAAGUGCACAGAGCUGAUCUCUCAGUAAUGGGAAAAACGUUGCAAGGCCAAUACGACUGGAUUUUGAAAGGCGGGGCAAACAUUUAUCAGUCUGCAGCAAUUGGUAUCCAUAAAUCAACCACGUACGUCGAUGUUACCCCUCCAUCCGACCUAAUCGCAGUAGCAGCCAGAAUCGAAUCUCCUGUCUCAGUAACUGUUGUCAGCAUUUAUAUACCAACACCAGAUUGCAUCAACCUUGAACAGCGGCUGUGCAAACUUCUAGACCAACUUCCCCCACCAUAUCUUAUCCUCGGAGAUUUCAACGCGCACCACGUUAGCUGGGGUUCACGAAGAAGCAACGACAAAGGCUCUGCAAUCCUUCGUGCCUCCGAAAAAGCUAGCCUUAGAAUACUAAAUGAUGGUUCUCCGACUUUCUCUCGCCCGCAAAUCAGUUCAGCUGUGGAUGUAUCUUUUGCUAGCGAGAAAUUUAUCGGCCGACUUCAGUGGUCGAUUGAUGACGAUCCUUUGGGUAGCGAUCACCACCCCAUAUCAAUCUACUGCAACUUCGUUCCACCAAAAACAACCAGACGCCCUCGAUGGAAAUAUGAGCUGGCAGACUGGCAAUCCUUCCAAAACAUGAUUGACAUCAGCCCAAUAGAAGAUGAUACGUCGCUCGAAGACCUAGUGAACACGAUUCUUGAAGCAGCCUCCGAAGCUGUUCCGAAAACAAGCUCCAACGCCGGACGUCGGGCACUAAGAUGGUGGUCACCUGAAACCAAAGCGGCCAUAAAACUACGAAGAAAAGCCCUCAGAAAAUUGAAGUGGAUCGCGACAAACCACCCUGACGCUGAAGCAAUAGCUGCAGACUAUCGUGCUAAACGUAAUGCUUGCCGGGAUACGAUUCGUUCCGCAAAGCGUAAGUCAUGGGACGAUUUCCUGAACGCGAUAAACAGUUACAGUACAACUUCCGAACUGUGGAAAAACAUAAACGCCUUGCAGGGGAAACGCAGUACCAAUGGUAUUGCCAUUAGGACAGGAAACGGAAUCACAAGGGACCCAAAUGAAGUUGCGAACAUUAUUGGCGGUUUUUUCGCUAAAUUGAGCGCUCGCAGCGGCUACAGCCCAGACUUCACUCGGCUCGAAGCAUAUUCGAAAACAAUUGAAUCCAUCCAACCUCCAAUCACCCGCCCAGAUGAUAGACUAGACAAACCUUUCUCUCCUGCCGAACUGUCUUUUGCGCUAAGUAGCGGAAGAGGGAAAUCAGCUGGGCCCGACGAAAUCGGGUACCCGCUGCUUCGCCACCUACCGCCGAUCGGAAAAAGGGUAUUGCUACACAACUACAACAAAAUUUGGGCUAACAAAACUUUCCCCGCCCAGUGGCGGCAUAGUUUAGUCAUCCCCAUUCCCAAAAAGAACUCAAUUCGUACCGAGCCUAACGGAUCCCGAAUAAAAAUUUACAUUAGCCUGACGUUAAAUUUCGAUGUAUACAUCAACAUCAAGGUUUGAUGUACUUCUGAUGUUGAACAUUAGAAAACAUUACGAUUCAGAUGUGUUUAUGCAAGGUAACAUAAUGUAUACAUCAGGAAAUCAAA